UGCGUAACGCGUAUGCAACCUACCUUUAACAGGGCGCUAUAACACUGAGAAAUUGGUACUAAUACCCCAUAAUAUCAUAGAAGGCAUCUUUUAUGGUUGAAAAUUCCGAUGGUUAGAGAUGGGCAUGCGUUGUAUUAGCUAGUUGGUGGGGUAACGGCUCACCAAGGCGACGAUACAUAGGGGGACUGAGAGGUUAACCCCCCACACUGGUACUGAGACACGGACCAGACUCCUACGGGAGGCAGCAGUGAGGAAUAUUGGUCAAUGGACGCAAGUCUGAACCAGCCAUGCCGCGUGCAGGAUGACGGCUCUAUGAGUUGUAAACUGCUUUUGUACGAGGGUAAACGCAGAUACGUGUAUCUGUCUGAAAGUAUCGUACGAAUAAGGAUCGGCUAACUCCGUGCCAGCAGCCGCGGUAAUACGGAGGAUUCAAGCGUUAUCCGGAUUUAUUGGGUUUAAAGGGUGCGUAGGCGGUUUGAUAAGUUAGAGGUGAAAUUUCGGGGCUCAACCCUGAACGUGCCUCUAAUACUGUUGAGCUAGAGAGUAGUUGCGGUAGGCGGAAUGUAUGGUGUAGCGGUGAAAUGCUUAGAGAUCAUACAGAACACCGAUUGCGAAGGCAGCUUACCAAACUAUAUCUGACGUUGAGGCACGAAAGCGUGGGGAGCAAACAGGAUUAGAUACCCUGGUAGUCCACGCAGUAAACGAUGAUAACUCGUUGUCGGCGAUACACAGUCGGUGACUAAGCGAAAGCGAUAAGUUAUCCACCUGGGGAGUACGUUCGCAAGAAUGAAACUCAAAGGAAUUGACGGGGGCCCGCACAAGCGGAGGAACAUGUGGUUUAAUUCGAUGAUACGCGAGGAACCUUACCCGGGCUUGAAAGUUAGCGACGAUUCUUGAAAGAGGAUUUCCCUUCGGGGCGCGAAACUAGGUGCUGCAUGGUUGUCGUCAGCUCGUGCCGUGAGGUGUCGGGUUAAGUCCCAUAACGAGCGCAACCCCUACCGUUAGUUGCCAUCAGGUGAAGCUGGGCACUCUGGCGGGACUGCCGGUGUAAGCCGAGAGGAAGGUGGGGAUGACGUCAAAUCAGCACGGCCCUUACGUCCGGGGCUACACACGUGUUACAAUGGUAGGUACAGAGGGCAGCUACCCAGCGAUGGGAUGCGAAUCUCGAAAGCCUAUCUCAGUUCGGAUUGGAGGCUGAAACCCGCCUCCAUGAA
rnacentral:rRNA from 1 species